GCCAAAACACAUGUAAGCUACUAGUAUCAAUGAAUGAACGACCUGUCUUUAUCAUCUAUAAUGUAUCUUAGCAUUGUACUUUAGUGGGUACAUUAUAUGUGACCCCACGUGUCUAAUGUUUUCUUUGAAUUGCAGCUUCUGAACUUUUGUUGACUUGUGUGUGUUGCAAAUGCCACAACUUUGUCUUUCAUGAUCUCCUGUUUUCUAGUUAUGUUUCUUUGUGGUAAAAUUUAUUUUGUCUGAUCUGUUGUUAUUCUGACGUGGAACCUUUCUUGUGGAAGCAUGCCUUACUUUUAUCUACAGGUUUUCCUUGUUAUGAGAGCCUUCUCUUGUUUGCUCUUAUACAAUUCAAUUUUUAGCUGCUUGCAUAUGGAAAUGAUCCUUUAGUUCUAUGUGUUUAAUUUGCACUACCUUUUUAUCCCUUUAUGGUUGUCAAGGAAGAUAAGAAGUUGGCAAAGAUUCAGAAUGUUUUCGGUGUCAUAAGGGGAAGUGAGGAGCCAGAUCGUUAUGUUAUCCUUGGCAACCACAGAGAUGCAUGGACAUUUGGUGCUGUGGACCCCAAUAGUGGAACAGCUGCACUUCUUGACGUUGCUCGCCGUUAUGGGAGCUUGUUGCGCUCGGGCUGGAGACCUCGAAGGACAAUAAUCCUAUGCAGUUGGGAUGCAGAGGAGUUUGGAAUGAUUGGAUCUACUGAAUGGGUUGAGCAGAACCUUGGAAAAUUGACAUCGAUGGCUGUGACAUACUUGAAUGUCGAUUGUGCAGUUCAAGGUGAUGGUUUUUUUGCUGGUGCAACUCCCCAGUUGGACAAGCUUCUAGUUCAAGUUACAAAACAGAUCCAGGAUCCAGAUUUGGAAGGCAGGACGGUUUAUGAUUCUUGGGCAGCAAAUAAUGAAGGUAUCAGUAAGAUUGAAAGACUGGCUAGAGCUGAUUCAGAUUUUUCUGCAUUUUUACACCAUGCGGGGAUUCCUUCUGUGGAUUUGUACUAUGGUGAAGCAUUCGGCGGCUACCAUACUGCUUUUGACUCCUAUAAAUGGAUGAUAGAACAUGGAGAUCCAUCAUUUCAUCGCCAUGUAGCCAUUGCUGAACUUUGGGGCCUCUUAGGUCUUCGGCUAGCAGAUGAUCCAGUCCUACCUUUUGAUUACCUUUCUUACUCUACCCAGUUACAUGAUGGAAUGCGGGAGUCACAACUGAUCGACGGAGAAUUUCUGUCGAGGACCAAAAAUGUCUGUGUCCCAUAUUCUAUGCAAAAGAUGUGCCGAGGGGUACAAAAGAUGUGCCAAGUUAGUUUCAGGUUGUUGUGGGCAAAAGAAGUUGGAGUAUGCAACUACAUUGAUUACCUUUCUGGAUGGUGGGAUAUCUGUGCAUCCUUUAAAUGCCUCUGUUGACGAGCUCUCUGCUGCAAUCAGAGAAGCUCUGGAAGAAGGAAAGCUAUGUUAGCAUUUCUGUUGCUAUUUGCCUAUGAUAUGUUUGUGCUCUAUUCUUGCUAAAACUCAGAAGCAACCUCUGUAUGAAUGAAGGCUGGUUCAUGAAACUGCAAGAGGUAGAAACCUCAGAGGAGUUUGCUGCCUUGAGGAUACGUGCUUUCAAUGAUCGCCUAAUGCUGGCU